AGUCAUACUUAUACCCAGAAAGAGCUGUGUGUAUAUUUUAGAAAGACACUAGAAGCUCUUGGGAGCAUGUGGACAGUUGUGGCUGCUCCUGAGCUGACACUAACUGCUCAUGACUCCUCUGUGGGAGAAGUAGGUGGUUUCCUAGAGGAAGAAGUUUGGGUAAUGAAGCCACAGAGAUUUGCUGAUACAUUUGCUAGGCACGACUUCUGGUCAUUUAGAAAGCUAUUUUGUGGCUUCAUCAAUAAGGUAUUCCCCAGCUGUGUUACUCCUUCGCAUUGUUAUCUCUUUCCCUGGAAUUGAAGGCUUCCUGGUCUGAGGCAAGGACAAUUAUUCCCUCACUGUCAACCCUGAUCUCUGGCUGCAGUAAUGAGUAGAGGAAAUGAAGAAAUAAGAAUGGAAGCAUAAUCAUUUGUCCGAGGUCACAGAGGGAGAUGAUUACACAGCUGGAAUAAACUCUCCUCCUUCAAUACCUGACUACUUGCACCAUCCAGCAGAUAUCCUCUACUACCAAGUCUCAACAGAUGGUUCAGCUGGUCUUUAAUGAACAAAAGGCAUUUGUGUAAUGGACUCUUAUUGCUCAAGAAGAAUUUCUUCCUUCCUGAAACAUGAGGAGAAACUGACAAAAACUGUCUCCUUGACCAAACCCUAGUCAGUUGCCUAUAAGCCCUGUAGGCUGUGACCUUAGUGUCUAUCCUUAUCAGACACGCAUUACACAACCAUAGCAACAGUCUUGCUAAGUUGGUUUAACCAGAACCCCUACCCUUGAUAUCUGAUUUAAUUUAUAAUUCCCCUGAGUCCCCGAGGUGACAUCCAUUCAUCCUGGCCAGCUUUCAAUAAGAAUCCUAUUGGAUUAUUUAGCUAGAAAUCACCCCUUACACUUAAUGCUUCCUUUUAGUAAUUUUGCAUCCACUAACCCCGACCUUGCUCGUUGGCUAUAAAUCCACAAGUUGUCCGUGUUGUGUUUGGAAUUGAUUACAAUUCUAUAUUGAGGUCUCUUUUCCCAUAUUGCAAUAGUUCCUGAUUAAAAUCUGCUUUUGCCCAUUGAUAUGGUUUGGUUGUGUACCCACUCAAAUCUCAUCUUGAAUUGUAGCUCCCAUGAUUCCCAUAAUUGAAUCAUGGCAGCAGUUUACCCCAUACUGUUCUUGUGGUAGUGAAUAAGUCUCAUGAGAUCUGAUGGUUUUAUAAGGGGUUUCCACUUUCACUUGAUUCUGACUCUCUUUUGUUUGCCGCUAUGUAAGACAUGCCUUUCACCUUCUGCCAUAAUUGUGAAGCCUCCCCAGCCACAUGGAACUGUGAGUCCGUUAAACCUCAUUUUCUUUAUAUAUAAAUUACCCAGUCUCAGGUAUGUCUUUAUCAGCAGCAUGAAAAUGGACUAAUACACUCCUUUAACUGUGUAGCUCUGGUGUUCUUUGAUGAGCUAGAAACUGUAAAUCUCUGGAAGUCAAAUCUUCAUUUGAACUGGUUGUUAUAUAUUAUUGAUUCUCUCAAUUAUUUAGUUAAAUAAAAGUCUUGACAUGUUAAAUUUGUAUUUGCAGUUGUGAUUUUUAUCCUCUUCUAAAAUGUAUCCUGUUACAGUCCCACUAAUAUAGCCCCCAUUGAACCUCACAUGUUAUUUGAAGUCACUUUCCUGACACAGUAGGGAUGAUGAUUUUUGCCAGGGAUCUGUAGUUUUUGGGAUGCUGCAUGAUUGU
rnacentral:lncRNA from 10 species